rnacentral:rRNA from 1 species
UACGUAGGGUGCGAGGCGUUGUCCGGAAUUACUGGGCGUAAAGGGCGCGUAGGCGGCCUUCUAAGUCAGACGUGAAAUACCCCCGGCUUAACCUGGGAACUGCGUGCUGAUACUGGGAGGCUUGAGUAUGGGAGAGGGAUGUAGAAUUCCAGGUGUAGCGGUGAAAUGCGUAGAUAUCUGGAGGAAUACCGGUGGCGAAGGCGGCAUCCUGGACCAUAACUGACGACUGAGG